AUGUAGGCCCUUCUUCUCCCCAGUUGGGUCUCCUCCUAAUUCCUAGUAGUUACAGAUUGGUUUAAGCCCUAAAGCAUGAGACUUAAUCUCUUCCAAAAAUUUGUUAGCAUUAACUAAAACAACUUUGGAUAUUUAUUCUUAUUCAUAUGUAUAGCUGAUCACUUUUUGAAUGUUAAUAUUUUUGGCUUCAACACAAUGUAGCAGUGAGUUCUAGUUUCUUCAUAUGGUGUGUGUGAAGUAUUUUUUUUAUUGGUUUUGAAUUUGCUGCUUCAUUUUAUUGAAAUCUCCCUUGUUCUUAGAGCAUGUCAGUGUAGAUCCCACUGUAGACAUGCAUAUGACUGGAAUUUCUUGAGUAGCAGUGUCUGUUGGGGCUUCUUGUACACCCUGCCAUAUCAUGCUCCCAUGUGAGCGCAUAAAGAAUGGAAUAGCCAGUCCAUUCUUACCACCCAUGGCAGCAAAAUGGAACAUGGUGAAUAUCUGACCAUAGAUGUGGCUCAACCUUCUUCAAAUCUUGUGAACUUCUUCAGAACUCCUUUGAUUACCUUCCUCUUCAACUGCUGGGAUCCUAUUCACCUGACUGGACAGGUAUUGGAGGUUAACCCGCCCUCUAAAGAGCUCCUUAACAUGACAGACUUGAAACCUGCAGGCUUCAAGCCCUGUUCAUGCUGCGCUGGACUAGUCCCCCUAAAAGAUUAAUGGAGUAGGUGCCUCUUCUGCCUUGUAGAAUCACACAUACCAAGAAGAUGUUCGAUGUGCCUGAUGUUUCUUGCUAGAUUAUGUUAAGUCCUAAGACACAAGGUUCAAAUGCCACUUUCCAGAACAAUCCAUAAAGGUCUGUCUUAAGGCCUGAGGAGACAAGUUCCAAAAUCCUGCUAGAAGACAAGCCAGGCUCAUUCAGCACCCUCUGCAGCAGACAAGGUACCAGUGUGAACAAAACAGCACCACGAAAGAAACAGGGCACAGCUGCUAUGGCACCAAAGCACAUAUCAGCAUCAAAACAGGAACCACCAACUACAACGUCAAAGUCUAGCACCAACAGGUUGCUUAAAGCAUAGUGGUAGAGACUCCAGACAGAACUUUUGGUGUCCUCCCAAAAAGACAGGUAAUGCAAAGCCUCUGCAGAGAAAUCCACCAGGCCUUGCAUAGCAUUGAGGGCUAGGGAAAUGGAGCAGCCUGUGGCACCCAAGACCACACCAGCACUGACCCUGGCUCCAUGACCUACCCCCUCAGCAUCGACAACAACCAUGGUGAAUGUCUCACUCUGGAGACAGACAGCAGUGGUAGAAGAGAAAUACCAAAUUGAGGACAUCCUAUCAGUUCUUGGCCUGGGAUAAUAUUACCAUCCCAAGAAAGAAGGGGCUGCUUGACCGAACCAGGCCCUGUGGCAGGUGCCAGUCAUAAUAAUGCCCACCAGGAAACAGAUUGAGAAGAGGUACCAAAUACCUUUUAACAAGGUUUGAGUAUUUCUGUACUCACUCCAACCCAGGCUUCUUACUUGUGUUCGUGGUACAGGAGAAAUCUAAGUUGAGCAAGAGUACAAUCCAAGACCUGGACUUGAAAAGGCUUGACCUCUUUGGGAGAAAGUCACACUUUUCUGCCUCUCUACAAUUGCAUGCAGCCAACUGCCAGGUCUUACUGGCCUCAUAUAACUUCUUAACGUAGUACAAGGUGACCCCUCCCCCCCCCCCUUCUUGCAGUGCUCCACAAGAUGCCAGAGAGGUGGUAAGAAACAUAAUCAAGGGUUGAGGUUGUGUCAACUGGUAGCCUGGAUGACGCACACAGUCACAAUGAACAUCUCCAGCACUGUGGUGAGAUCUGUGGUAACUACAGUGAUGUGAAGAACUUUGUGGCUCCAAGUAUUGGGUAUCCCGAGAGAGGUAAAGGUCACAAUGAAGACUUAACCUUUGUGGACACAGAGCCCUUUAGCCAGCAGAGUGCUCUGUACUCAUUAAGACUCAAAGGCCACCUUAAAUUCCCUGGGGAAUUGCACCCUAGCCCCAUAUCAAAAGCCAUACAGUACUCACCCGCAGAUGAGGCCUUGGAUGCCUGCAUACCAGCCCAGGCAUCCUGAAUACCAGGCACAGAAAAUACCAUGGUAUGACAGAGGGCGCCAACCUUCUUCCUCUUUGGCAAUGCACACUGCUCCUAUGACAUGCCAGCAAAUUUGAUUGCACAGCUUGGAACCACAUCAGAACUGGUCAAAUGAGCAUUACCUUCCAAAGCCACCGUCCCUGUUCCACUGGGCAUGGUCUGCCAUUAUAUCAGACAGAUGGGUAUUAGAGAUCCUUUCCAUGGCUACCCCAUCUAAUUCCGCUCUUGACCCCGCCCACCACUUCUCUGACCCUCUCGUGCAAUCAGAGGUGGCCUCAUUGCUUUUAGGAACCAUAGAGGAGGUUCCAAAGGAAUGCAAGGGAAGAGGCUUCUACUCUCAGUAUUUCCUAAUUCCAAAGAGGAUGAAGACCUUCUUCCCCUUCUUAUCUUAGACCUGAGGAGACUCAACAAAUACAGACACCAUAGCCCUUCAGUGUCUUCAUGGCACCUAGAGUGCAAGGCAGUAGUAGGAGCAUCCUAAGUGGUAUCCUUACUUGGAUGACAGGCUGAUCAGAUGCAGAUCCCAACAGGAGAGUGCAACAGCCUUGGAUAAGUUUUCUCUCUGUUCCCCCAAAUAGAAUUCCACAUGAGUAAUGAGAAAUAAUCCCCAACAACAUCUCAGAUGAGAGGGUUUAUAGGAGCUGUGUGAUCAACUCCCUAUUAGUCAGUCUGCCUGCCAUACAGCAGAGUGCAGUGUCACCAGUUGACGGUAAACUACCUGUAGUCAAACCCAACUAUGAUUGUGUGUGCAUGUCUGGAGAUCUUAGGCUACAUGUUGCCAUGUAGAUAUGUGACACUGCUUGCCAGAAUUCAUCUUCAGCCCUUACAACUGUGGCUAAGGUCUGUGUAUGCCCUCUCUGGACACCAUGUGAACAAAAAAGUCAACAGUCCUGUCCCACAUCCUACAAGAGCUGAUGUGGCUGGAUCCAGUGAACAUCCAGAAAGGGAUAUGACUCUGUCCCCUCCCUGACUGACAUUUAUCACAACCAAUCCAGGAACAGGGUGGGAUGCUCUCAUGAACCACCUGAAGGUGCAAGACACACGGGUCCAGGAUCUGUGAUUAUAUUUUACCAUCUUGAAGCAGAGGGCCAUCAGUCUAGCCUGCAUAGUGUUCCUGUCCCCCUCUGGAAUUCCAUGGUACCAAUCCUCACAGACAUGUCCACUAUGCACUAUAUAAAAACAGAGAGGAAUGUGGUAAUCCCAUCUCUACCAGGAAGCCAUCAGGAUCUAGAAGCAGUGCCAUCACUACAGGAUUAUCCCAUUGUCUAUAUAUCUCCCAGAGGUCGUCCUCAAUCUGGGAGACAUUUUAUGGAGGCAUGCAGUGGUCAAAUAUGUGGUGGUAGUUGAAGUAUGUUUUAAACCUCAUAUUCCAUCAAUUAAGAACCCCUCAUUGUUCACAGAAGACAAUACCAAAUGCACAAACUUCUAUUCCAGAGAAAAUAUAAACCCAAGCUUGUUGCUGGAUGCCUUUCUUCUCCGGUAGUCUCUGACUCGUAUAUGCCUUCCCAGUGAUUGUUCCCUUUAGUCUGUAGUGAUCUAGCAGACCUCACUGAUUCUUUUGCAGUCUUUCUGCUUCUGAUGUACUAAACAUUUUGUUCAUUUUUACAUAUUUAGCUAAUUGCUCUUUGAAAUCCAUUUUGGCUCUUCUUCUUGCCUGCUAUAAUUUAUGCUGCUGUCUGAUUAGUGUCAAGUUUCCAAAUUUUGAAGGAUAGCUGUUUUGGUUCAAGUAACUUCAUGAACCUUAUCAUUUCACCAUGCUGCUUUACACUUUGCUGCCUGGUUCUCUUUUUGUUCAGUGGCAUGCAGGUCGUCUUAGUCUAUGGUUUUCUUAAGUAGUAUGCAUGCCACUUCUAAGGAUUUUACUUUCUUUGUUUUGCCUUUAGGGACUUUUUGACUACUCUCAUCAUUUUUUAAAAUCAGUCUUUCUGAAACUGUCACUGUGUCACUUUUUGGUAUCUUGCAUCCCCCUAGAAUUUUGACUCUAAUUAUGUUGUGAUCGCUCUAUUACUUAGCAGCACAGCUAAUGACACUUGGAAUUAACUCUUGUGUGUUGUUUGAAAAUAAGUUGAGACUAGCCUCUCCUCUUGCGUUCCAGAAAUAAGCAAUCGCUUAAAAUGUUGAAAGUGUUUCUCUAAACUUUGCCCCAUUGUGCCAUUUAGUUUAUAUGUGAAUAGUUGAACUCUCACUUUAUAUUUUUUUUUUUUAAAGGUUUUGCUGCCUCUGUGUUCUCUCAACAUUCUGCAUUAGGUUUCCUUUCUUGAUCCAGAGGCCAGUAACAUAGCUGUACUAAUAUAUUUACAUUCUUAAAGCUUAGGAUUCAUAUCAGUAAUACAAAUUCAAAUGCAUGGUCCUCUCACUUAGAAUGAUUAUCUCACUAGACUCUAUGGAAUCCUUAAGAUGCAAGAUGACUACUCUACCUAAUUGGCCUAGUCUGUCUUACAUAGUUUAUAGCCAGGUAUUACAGUAUUCUACUAACUUUUGUCAUUCUACCACAUCUCUAAUGUCUAUUAUAUCGGAAUCGUCUUUUGUUCUGAGGAAUUCUAGUUUACUUACUUUUGCUUUUUAAGCUUCUCAUUUGCACAUAAACACUUGUAAGGUUGUUGUGGGUUUGGUUUUUUUUUUGACAGAUUUUGUUUUUAUUUAACACCAUAUUCUAUUAUUUCUCUGAAGUUUCCUCUGGUUUUCCUGUCCCUCUUCUAGAUCAGUUGCAUUUUGUGCUACCCUUUAUUGGCUACAUAGUACUAUUCCUUAUAAUUACUGAUAUCUUUGAAAGAUGCUCAGCUCCUGUCUUCUUCCCCCAAGCUCCUAGUUUAAAAACUCAGUCAAAACCUAAUUCAUUUUGUGCCAUCAGUCUGGUUCCAUUUUGAUUAAGCUGGAGCCACUCCUUCUGUAUAGUCUCCCUUGGCUAAAAAAAAUCCUUAGUGUCUAAUAAAUGUAGACCUUUCUGCACCAUCUUCUCCACUACACAUCAAAACCCUGAAGUACCUCUGCCAAGCUGGAGCUGAAUUUUCAGACUAUGCCCUCAGUGACAUCUAUGUAAGCUCUUAUUCAGUAGAUUUGCAGAGGGGCGUAGGCCUUAAAAAUCAGAAUUCAAUACACAAUUCUGUUGCACAAGAAAGAAAUAGAACUGAACAUGUUAUGCUACUGCUGUGUUGGCUCUGCAAGGCUUCUAGGAUUAAAAAAUGGGGGGGGGAGGGGAAAUUGUCAUGUAAGCUGAUCUGACUCUGAAUACACCCUAGGAUGCAGCUGUCUAUAUUAGGAAGGUGCCAUUUUUGCAUAAUCACUUUUCAGAGUAGAACUGCACUUAAUAUUGUGGUCUUUUUAUUGGUUGGCAGAUGGUAGAAAUAGUUAUUCCUCUGUAAAUGUGGAUCUUGAUACCCUUUGUGAGACUGUUCUUUAGUAACUGACUCAAAUUAGAGAAGGUUGGAGGUGAAGUAGACAGCAGCUGAUCUUGUGGCAUAGCAUCAUAUGUUGCCAGAAUUUGGUAAAAAAAAAAUAUAUAUAUAUAUAUGCUGAAGCCCUACUUUCUGAGGUUCUUCAUACAGUUAACAUAUGGACAUCUAGCAACUGUGGUGGGUGUCAGAGGAACUUCUUUUUCAUCCAAAUUUUCUGAUAUGCAUAAUCUUUCUAGUGAACAGCAAUGUAACCAGAGCAUUUUCAGUGCACACAGUCUAGAAUAAAUGGUAUCACAAAAGCUAUACUACAAUAUAAGGAUCAUCAGGCCGUGAUAAAACAAUACUUCUAUUGGUGUAUUUUUUUCCUCCAUUUUGCAUCUGACUGAAACAUUAGCUCAGGUGUAAAUCUCUUAACCUCUUCUUAAGCCAGUUAAACUAUGAUUUAUCUAUAGAGCAGUCUAGUAUUUUAAAACCAUUUUUACUAAAACAGGUGACAUUUUGCAGUCAUAUUACCUGAUUUUCAAGGAUGCUGAAUUAAGCUGGAGCUAGGGGUACUACUUUCUCUGAAAAUCAGGUAAUUAUUUCUUAGUGUCAGCAGGUACUUGUGUGUUUUACAGGAGUCUUAUAAAAAUCAUCUUAGUCUUUGCUGUUGAUGAUUAUCUUGCAGAGUUGUAUUGUUUUUCAAGGGCCAAUUUUUUAACUUGUAUUUGUUGAAUAUUGGAUUCUUUUGAGCUUCCUUGUCC